UGCAGUCGACGAUGAAGCGGUGCUUGCACCGUGGAUUAGUGGCGAACGGGUGAGUAACACGUGAGUAACCUGCCUUCCACUCUGGGAUAAGCGCUGGAAACGGCGUCUAAUACUGGAUAUGACAUGGCCCUGCAUGGGGUGGUGUGGAAAGAUUUAUUUCGGUGGUUGAUGGACUCGCGGCCUAUCAGCUUGUUGGUGGGGUAAUGGCCUACCAAGGCGACGACGGGUAGCCGGCCUGAGAGGGUGACCGGCCACACUGGGACUGAGACACGGCCCAGACUCCUACGGGAGGCAGCAGUGGGGAAUAUUGCACAAUGGGCGCAAGCCUGAUGCAGCGACGCCGCGUGAGGGAUGACGGCCUUCGGGUUGUAAACCUCUUUCAGCUCUGACGAAGCCCCUUGUGGGUGACGGUAGGAGCAGAAGAAGCACCGGCUAACUACGUGCCAGCAGCCGCGGUAAUACGUAGGGUGCGAGCGUUGUCCGGAAUUAUUGGGCGUAAAGAGCUUGUAGGCGGCGUGUCGCGUCUGCUGUGAAAGCCCGGGGCUUAACCCCGGGUCUGCAGUGGGUACGGGCAGGCUAGAGUGUGGUAGGGGAGACUGGAAUUCCUGGUGUAGCGGUGGAAUGCGCAGAUAUCAGGAGGAACACCGAUGGCGAAGGCAGGUCUCUGGGCCAUUACUGA
rnacentral:rRNA from 1 species